GGCAGAGGCAGUUCAGGGGUAUUCUGGUUGCCUUACCCAGCUCUGAAGUCUGUCAGCCUCUUCAGAUGUCACUUGCCAUGUGGUAAGGAAGUGUAGUCAGCAGCUGGUGCAGUGGGAAGAAGAGAAAGGAAGUUCCCCAAGACAAAAACAUCUCGGCAGACCGUGAUCAUGGGCUACAUUCUCCGUACCAGCUUCAUAGCUCCAGUGAGAAAAUAAAUUCCUGCAUCCAGGAGAUGUGGAGUAAGAGAUACAGCUGCCCUUGACCAUAUUUCUUACUUCCGAGAAGAUCGUAGCAGUAAUUCAGAAUCUCAUCCAGGAUACCUCAUCACAGGCUGGAGUGCAGUGUCAUGAGCUUGGCUCACUACAGCCUCCAUCUUCUGUGCUUAAGGAUCCUUCCCUCUCAACCUCCAAGGUAGCUGAGACUACAGGCAACAUUCGAAACCCAGGUGCCACUCCUUCAGGAAGGUACCAUCAAGCUCCAAGGACUCAUCCUCUUUCUCCUUCCCCACUACCUAGUCAUUAGAGCGUCAGCAUCCACUUCCUGAAAGGAAGAUGCCUGUUUUUCACAUAUCCCAGAAAGCCUCAUUUUAGGACAGCAUUUAGCAGAGUGUAUUCAGGAUCCCACUAACCUUUUCGGAAGACAUGACUUCCAGAUGAUAUAAGGCAAGAAUAAGAAAUUUCAGUGACAGGGAACAGAAAUCAUAUUUCUGCAUUCAGGAUCAUGUUUUCUUGGCUCCAUCAGGAACUGUGCAGGACUGUGCACUCUGUUGAUACUCACAUGGUGGAAUUAUAUUGCCCUUGGCCAACCCUAAAGCCAUCAAGAUAGCAGCAACUACUCUAUCAUUACUGUACCACCACCUGUAUGGAUCUCGUUGCCCAUAUGAAACUGAGUAAGGAACAAUGUGCAUCACACUCACAGAGAAAGAUGGACAAGUUUGGAAUAAUUCACUGUCGAAGUCUUCUUGAGCUGAGCAGUCAUGUGAGCUUGGAAGAUGAUCCCUCUCCAGCUGAUCCUUCAGCUCAGGCCAUCAUCUACAUCUGGAUUCCUGACCCGGAGAAACUAUGAGUAAUGUGUGCUGCUUUUGAGCCACUAAGCUACAUGAAUUAAUGAAGGAUCAUUAUUAAGUUUUUAAUGGGUCAAGAGAAAGUUACCACUGAGGUCUUCUCUACCUGGGCAACAAUUGACUCCUAACAACCACUAUAAGCUUGGAAGAUGAUCCCUCCCCAGCUGAUCCUUCAGGUGAAUUUUUCACAGAGCCAUAGAUAUCUUAUCAUCCUCUGUGGCUUGAAGACUAAUGGCAAUAAAACAUUUCUCAAUAAAGGAGGCUAUACCAUUGUCUGUGUGAUUUCCACUUUCCCUGUUGACACUUAUUCUGCCAGUUUUGAUGUAGGUCAUCUUGCCAGAAGAUGAAAGCAGAUUUCAGGUGAAGUUCAU
rnacentral:lncRNA from 1 species